GACGAACGCUGGCGGCGUGCUUAACACAUGCAAGUCGAACGGAAAGGCCCUGCUUUUGUGGGGUGCUCGAGUGGCGAACGGGUGAGUAACACGUGAGUAACCUGCCCUUGACUUUGGGAUAACUUCAGGAAACUGGGGCUAAUACCGGAUAGGAGCUCCUGCUGCAUGGUGGGGGUUGGAAAGUUUCGGCGGUUGGGGAUGGACUCGCGGCUUGUCAGCUUGUUGGUGGGGUAGUGGCUUACCAAGGCUUUGACGGGUAGCCGGCCUGAGAGGGUGACCGGCCAAAUUGGGACUGAGAUACGGCCCAGACUCCUACGGGAGGCAGCAGUGGGGAAUAUUGCACAAUGGGCGGAAGCCUGAUGCAGCAACGCCGCGUGCGGGAUGACGGCCUUCGGGUUGUAAACCGCUUUCGCCUGUGACGAAGCGUGAGUGACGGUAAUGGGUAAAGAAGCACCGGCUAACUACGUG
rnacentral:rRNA from 1 species